rnacentral:pre_miRNA from 1 species
CUGACUGAUUUCUUUUGGUGUUCAGAGUCACCUCUAUCUUUCUAGCACCAUUUGAAAUCGGUUAC